GCCUGCCUGGCUCUGUCGGUAGAGCAUGGGACUCGUGAUGCCAGCUCGUGAGUUCGAGCCCCAUGUUGGGCG
rnacentral:tRNA from 1 species